rnacentral:rRNA from 1 species
AACGCGAAGAACCUUACCUGGGCUCGAACGGCUAUUGAUCGGUGGUAGAAAUAUCGCCUUUCCCGCAAGGGACUGUAGUCGAGGUGCUGCAUGGCUGUCGUCAGCUCGUGUCGUGAGAUGUUGGGUUAAGUCCCGCAACGAGCGCAACCCUUGUCCUGUUUUGGCAUGCCGAAAGGCGCAACUAUCAGGAGACCGCCAGCGAUAAGCUGGAGGAAGGUGGGGAUGACGUCAAGUCAUCAUGGCCUUUAUGUCCAGGGCUACACACGCGCUACAAUGGGCGGUACAAAGCGCUGCAAACCCGCGAGGGGGAGCCAAUCGCAAAAAACCGUCCUCAGUUCGGAUCGCAGGCUGCAACUCGCCUGCGUGAAGCUGGAAUCGCUAGUAAUGGCAUAUCAGACGAUGCCGUGAAUACGUUCCCGGGCCUUGUACACACCGAGUAUA